CAAAUGGUACCAGCCUUCCUCAUCCCUCACCAGAUUGGCCUUUGGCCUGUAAACAUCACCGCAUUUCAUUGUGGGGGCGGUUGGCCCAGUGUACUAUGGAGGCCCAGAGAAGUGAUGUCUGCCAGUGGGGUGAGUCCAGGGUGGGACCCUGGAAGACAUGACUGGAUUUUGUGAGCUGAGCCUGGAAGAAUGGGUAUUGGCAAGAUGAUUCUUCACAUUUAUAGAACAUUUCCAAAACAGCAUGAGAAACAAAGCCCACAUGGUUGCCACUGAAGACUGUCGACAGCCUUCACCACUGAGCACACAGCUGCGUGAUGGAGCCACCGAAGCUCCCAGAACCACCCGGAGCAACCGCCCAGGCUCCUGGGAAAUGGCUUAGGCAGAGCCACACCUCUGGGGACCUUCAUUAUCCUGGGAGACCCUCGCCUGCCCCUAUGAUGCCAAGACUGGACCCUGGACUCUCUCCCAGCAUCCCCAGAAGAACCAGAUGCCAACCCCAUUGUGCUGACUGGAAGAUGUGCUCCUCUGCUGUGAUCAAUGCCUGUCAAAGCUCAUCUCUGGGCCUUGAGUGAUGACCAUAGGUCUACCUGGGAGAAUCUGCAUCAGGUGAGAUUCCCAGAUGUCAAGUAUUCUGGAACAUGGAGCAUUGAAUUUCCGUGCUCUCUUGUCCUGGCAGGCAAGUUGCUGACAGCAGGUGGUGGGACUUCUAAGCUUCUAUAAUCACAUGAGCCAAUUCCUCAUAACAGAUCUUUUAUCUAUAUAUAGAGAGAGAGAGAAAGAGAGAGAGAGAGAGAGAAAGAGAGGGAGAGAGAGAGGGGGGGAGGGAGAGGGAGAGAGAGUUAUUAGUUCUGUUUCUCUGGAGAACCAAAACAAAAAACCUUAAGAUACAAUGCAUAAACUGCCUCCUCUCUUUGACACUGGGUGACAGCUUUUUCUGCAGAACCCUCCUGUAGGAUUCCACAGACAUCGUCUCCUUACGCUUUGUCAGUGAGGGUUUUCCACAUUUGGGAACACCUCCUCUCUAACACCCAUGCCACCCUUGACAGGCCCCAGGUGUGGCCAGCGAUGGGUGCGGUCGUAGAGACUUCCAAUUUUUCCUCUAACUAGCACCAAACAGCCCUGCUCUUAACAGCUUUCUUUGGUCUGAGUCAUCUCCUUUUGGAAGAUACAGUCCAUUACUUUUCCUUCUGCAAGCAGCCAGAAUAUGUCUUCUCUCUGCCAAGCUCACACAAACUGAGAUAAUCAUAAUUGCUAAAUGGAUUACCAUAAAUGCCAAUUUUGCAAGAAUAUAAACCCAACAGCAGCUCUUAACCCAACACGCAUUCGAAAAGACAGCAACUUGUUUGGUUGAGCAGAGCAUUACAAUGGUGACAUAUGGGCAAGCAUAGCAUAGAUGUGAAACUCCGAGAAGUUAGCCAGAACCAUGUGGUGUAACCAUGCGAACAGCAACGGUUUUGAAGAACACAAAAGAUGGCAAAAGAAGUCCAUUCAGGAUGGCAAUUUUGGCUUCUUGGUUCAUAGACGAGGGGGAAAUUACCAGGAAGCGUCAAGCUUACCUCACCUCCUGAUCUAAGCAGGUUGCACACUUGCAAACUGUUGUUCUGUGCUACAAUAGAAUGGGUCCUCCUUCCAGAGUGCCCUCCUUGGUGAAUGCAGCCAUUGGUAGUGGCUCUGGGUAUGACAGGGGAAAGAAUUACUGGUUUCCUCUAGCCCCUGGAGUAUCCUACUAAUAUUCCAAUCACAAGAUACAUUUUUUCUUAAUUGCAACUUUCCACUCCGGAACAUGCCAUCAGGGGCAGAGAAAAGGAACAGCUUCAGGUAAGAGUCAUCAACACCAUAGCCGACUGGACAGUUGGACAUCCUCUUGUCAACAAGGGAUGUCCUAGGGCUGGUUUCCAAGGCUGGGACGGAAGUGCAAAUGCUAACAUGGCUACAGAAGUUGAGUGAAUUGUGGAAAAAAGAUGAGUUUGUGUAAAUAUGCAUAGGUUCCUCUUUCUCAUUCCUUAUGUGUAUUGCGUAUAUUGCUUAAGAAUAUGCACAAGAAAUAAGAUAUAAUUAAAGAAUUGGAUGCAAUUGUGCCAUGCCUGGGAUUAGCUUCAAGGUAAGUCUGGGGGUCAUAGGAGGGGAGGGGGUAUGGAUAUAGAUUAAGCAGGAUUGUUCAUGGGUUGGUAAUUAUUCAACGUAAUGGACAUGUGUAGGAUCCAACAUAAUAUUCUCCUUACUUUUGCAGAUGUGUGCAAUCCUCCAGAAAAAUGGAAAAAUUUAAUCUAAUCACAGCAAAGACUUUAGAAGGCAGAGUAUUUAAAAAUUUACUCUUCCCUCAUUGCCUUCACCUGAAAUCUCUUAAUAUAAAUAUAUUGUUAUCAAUCAAAACAAGAUUUUUAAAAAUAAUUUAGUUAUGAGCUUCCUGGCAGCCAAAGGAAAAAGUGAGACAUCUGUUAGAUGAAUAAUGCAUUUCCCAGCAGUUCUCCUUGGGGAGUAAAGCUGUUCCAGUCAUAUCUCUGAGUCAUCAAUACCAAAUGUGUCUUCAAUAAUAUCUCUACAGUGAAGACAGUAAUGCAAUUAGUAAAUGCACUCUGCUAUAAAUAUUUUCACUUUAACAUCCAGUGCAUAAUAACAAAGUGUUGCUGAGUGGUAGCAAUUCAGUGGAGAAUUGCAACAGAAGUGGUCUAAGUACUCAACUUUUGGAUGGUCCAGGGUGCGCUGAAAAUACACCAAUGGUCCUUCAAACCAUCCUCCUCAAAUAUCAUCUCUCUCAGUGGUUGCUUGACCCAAAUGAAUGACAAUUUAAGGUCAUAUCAUCUGGCAAAGGCAUAGAAAACCCACGUUUUCUGUAGCUGAAUAAGGGCAGAUGUAUAAACCCUAAUGACCUACCAGGGGAACCGUGUGAUUGUAAAUUAUAGCCCUAACAUGGGGGCUCAUGGCAGAAUGGGUGCUAAACUUCCCUCAGUAUAGCUAAUAUAUUCCCCUUCAAUGAAAGUUCUUUCUCUCAAUCUCUCUCUUUCUCUCUCAUACACACACACACACACACACACACACACACACACACACAACACAUGACAAGUCUUCAACCUUCUGCACCCUUGGGUAUCGCUUAGAUCAUUUCAGCCAAGGAAAUGUUUCAAAUUCAGUCUUAGAAGUCACUGGCCCCAGCCACAGAAAUAUUUCCAUCACUCUCCCCCCAAAAUUCUGGAUUUGGGUGAUAGAUAGAUAGAUAGAUAGAUAUAGAUAGAUGAAAGAUUGAUAGAUUUGACAGACAAGAGAUAGAUACGAAAGAUAAAUAGAUAGAUGAAAGAUAGAGUUCAUAUACCAAAUCUGUAUUCCAUAAUAUGAAUUUAUCUGUAUACACCCCUACAAGUUGAGCUUCUCAUGUAGAGUAACCCAACAAUUAACUGUUAGCAACAUAUAUUGAGCUACCAUCUCAAUUUGUAUAUUUUAGAGUCAUAUAUCAAAUUUUAAAAACCUAAUCCUGUUAAAAUUCUCAAUUUACUAGAUACUCAGUUAAACAGAACCGACAACCCUCUAGUAAUGAAUGUUUGAAAGGCACCUGCAGCCCCUCUGAAGGAAGACACUUCACUCUGUUCCCCUUGGUCUCUCAUUUGCCCAGAGCACAUGAGCAGGUUCCUCUGGCUUUCUCAUAGAGGGAAACAUAUCUAGGUUGUUAAUCAAUGGAUUCUAGCUUUAUACACCUAAAGGAUCUGGAGAUCCAAUGCGUUUGGGAAAUUAUCGUCAAGGCUGACCUCACUCAACUUUGCCAUCUUGGGCGGAGGCUGGAGUUCGGUACCAGUUUAGCUCAAAUAGAUUUGCCAAAUGGAUGAAAGACUCUGUACUUUAGACAAACCGGGAAGCAGUGCCCUAAACAUGAAGACUGAGUAUUUGUUUCCAGUUUCUGCUGGUGACUCACCUCAACCUGUCCGUCUUUAUAGUCGUCCAGUUCUGAGGCAGGGCCCGGGGAGGGUGGGAGUCGGGAAAGACAAGCUUUGCCUGGGCAAUCAGGAUUCUGGAUUCAGGGGGACUGGAAACGUCAACCUUGUCGCUCUACCCUCAGUUUGCAUUAGAAAAGCUUCAGCUUCUGCCGUGGACCUUCACUCUCCCCUUUCAAGAUUCGAAUAGAUGAAUUUUCAGGCAAGGCUGAGCUCAGACAAAGGCAGCCUGCAAAGACCCUUUCUCCAGAAUCUGGUCACAUUCCCAGAUUCUAGAGAUGGAGAUCUGAUAUCUUUAGAGGAAUAAGUUGUCACAGUUUGAAAGGGUUAUAUUUUUUUAUAAUGACCAGUCCCAUCACUCUCUGGGAAAGAGUGGGAUGGUGGAUGGAUUGCAACCAUCAUUUUAAUGCGGUUUCCCUUCUGGAAGGGAAGUCAGUGGUGUCAGAACUGAAACGGACCCUGGCAAUCUUCGUCUUAGAAUUUAUAGAUAUCUCAGAGAGGUCCCACGAGAGGUUAGAGGGACCAAUCGGGGCCAGACUCCAGGCAGCAUUUUCCCCACUUAUGUUGCCUCUCCAAGAGAAAAUUAAGUUAUCUUUUACAGCAGCCAAUUUCCCUCAAUUAACCUCAGCUCUGGCAAAUCCAUUCUCUUCCAUUUCCUUUCUGCUCUUCUCUCUCCUGCAAGACAGAAUGAGCCUUUACAACAUGUGAAUUGUGACUUUCUGGCCAGCUCAUGUCCUCAGAUGGGCUGCGCCUGGACAGACCUCGAACGUUGAGUCAGGAGUGGACGCUGCUCAAGAGGGAAGGGAGACCUGAACAAGCUGAUGGGUCCAAAGUUUUCAUGUGUCAGAGAAAGUAGGCAAAUAUCAACUCUCUGAGUAAGAAGAGAAUAUUUCAUGGCUAUUGGAACAUGGGGAAAGAGACACCUUUGACAUAACUAGCAUCUCGCAAACUAGAUACUCUACUCUUACUAAAGUAAGAAAUAUGAAUAAACACUAGAAAAUUCCAACAAAACUCAAGGGGAUAAACUCUUUUUUUUUCUUUUUAACUUUUCACAUCUGGAGCUUCCAGUUCUGUCAAUUUAGUGUUUUUUAAAAACAAUGGCUACAUAUUCAGCCUCUCCAUAUGAAAUCAAGAUGCUGCUAUUAAACACUACAUGUUUCUUGUUCAUGGGCUGACAAAAUAGGUUAUAUUAUAGAGGAUGGGACAUUUGAUAUAAAUGGUAUAGAAUCUCUUUUUAUUAACUUUCUCAUAUUUUUUAUGUCUCCAGAUAAUUUUUCCGAUGACAUGGGUCAUUAUUUUUUAAUAAUAAAGAAAGUUUAGCUUACACCCUUAGGUCUCUCAUAAACUCUUCUGGUGUUGAGAAAGAAACUUUCCAUCGUUAAUGGAAAGCACAUGCUGAAGUUUAGAUGACAUCAGUCUGAUUCUUGUAGAAUGAUGGGACGUGGGGAGUUCUGUGCAGUUAAAACAAAAGGAGCCCUACAGCUUACGCAGCACCAUAAUUUACACCAAGGGGAACGAGGAGGAGAAGAUAAAAGACCAUUAAUGAGGAUCUCCUCUCAUCAUAUCAAGGGACAGGAGGCAAUGACUAGUAAGAAUGGAGUCAGCUUAUAGGGAUGGUGUUACGGCUAUGGAAUGUGAGCAGGAUCGCCCACAGCAGGCCAUGUCCAACUGAGACGCAGUGCUGGUAUCAUAUCUUCACGAGAAAUUGCAUCUCCAGAGAGAGCGUCCAGUCCUUCCUCCCAAACAAUGCUCUCCUCACUCUUUCCAGUCUUCCUGUCUGCCCUUUUAUUAGUCAUGUCUUGACCACAGACAUCUCCCAACCAGCCUGACACUCCUGUCCACCCACUCCUUUCUUGGGGUGAGGCAUCUUGCUGACAUUCUCUUUGGCUCUGUCUUCUCCUUUCUUCCACUAAUGUUACAUAAAUACCAGAUGUUGGAUGGUGCUAGACAUUUCUGAAAGGAAAAACAUGGCAGAUGUUCUCAGAUGUUCCUGUCUUCACUGAGAGAUUUUCUCUUGACCUCCUCCUUCCCUGAAGCUACUGUCCAUUCUGUCUUCUUGCUGUCACUCCAGACAUCUUCCCACGUGGACCAUUCGUUUUCUCCCCUUAUUCAGCUCCCAUAGAUUGCUCAGCCCAUCCCAUUGCUGUUCUGAUGCUGCCCUACAGAAACACCACAUGAUCUCAUUUCCAACUCAAGAACUCGUUUUCAAGAGCUCAUCUUGUUUGAGCUGCUCAUCCUUCUUUCUCCCCACAAAUCCUUCCUCCCUGAUCUCCAUAACUUCAUUCUCUUCUCUUCUUCCUACCUCUCCCACUGCCCUCCAGCAAUCAUUAUUUUUUGUAAGUUCUUCUCCUCUACACUCUUCCCAUACUUGUAAGGGUUUAGACUUGGCCAGCUCCUUUUUCUGUAAGUGUCCUCAUCUACUUUCGCCCCUUUGAAUAUCUUCCAGACACAAAGGAGUCCCACCUUUCUCUAGCCCAUCCCUAGUGAUCCUGAGUUACCAUUGAUCCACUGAAUCUCUCCAGUUGGAUGCCCCCGUGUAACUUAAACUCAUUAUGUCUAAGAAUCUAUGUAUUAUCCUCUCCCUCAAUCCCACUCUACUUCUUUUACAUGUCAGAUUUCAAUGGACCCUCCGUCAGUUCGCCCAAAUGAGAAACCACAGCCACACCUUCCGGUUUCCCCUCCCUCUCUCAUGUCCACAUCAGACUUGUCCCAAAGUCCCACCCAUUCCAGCAUCCUUUCUAAUUGGCUUCUUUCUCCUUAGUCUCACUGCUGUUUUCCUGGUUCAAGUCCUCAUCAUCUCCCUGAGGACCAUGGCAGAUGCUGACAACCCCACUCCCAUCCACCCUCUCCUUUGUCCUUUUUGUCAUAGAUGUCCCCAAGUAUCUGUUGACACAUGAUUAGGGUACCUUCUCCAGCCUCCCCUGCAGCUAGUGGUGGCAUGGCUAUUUGCCGCGUCCAAGAGCUAAGUGUGCUCUGCAAUCUCCAUCCUUAAAAUGUUUAUAGACAUUUUUGUGUGUGAACUAAAGAAAUGAGACUCUCCAAAGCCACACGAUGAAUGACAUGGAAUGUAAAUAUAUAUCACUGGUCACCACAAGCCAACACAGGAACUUCUUUUGGAAGUUUAAGAAGGAUGAGAAGAAAUCACUGGAGCCGCCGUGAGUGCAGGAGAAUAAUGCAAAAGAUAUUUGGAGAGAAAGAGAAGGAAAUAGGAUGAUAAAAUAGCAGGGACUACAUGCUGGCUGCUUCCAUGAGGCAGUGUUUUCUGAGGCUAAAGCACACAUGCCAGGAAAUAAAAAUAAAGAAAGAUAUUUUAGCUUAUCUACUUUUCUAAUAUGUAGCUGCUCAUUCACCCUAUUGGAUAUCUGGGCUUUUUUUCCCCACCCCAAAUUUAAAGCUUUAUAAAAUCCUAAACCUCAGUGUUGGAAGCAGCCCUAAAUCCAAGCAACUCUAAUUCUUUAGAGGAGAGUUCUUACCCAGGAUUAGGAACCAGAAUCGCAGGGAGAAUAUUAUCAAAAUUCAUGCACCCAACCCCACCCCAGACACUCUGGUUUAGCAGGUCUAGAGGCGAGGAGACCAUCUUAACUACCUAUUUUGAAAAAAAAAAAAAAUCCCAGAUAUUUCUGAUGCAUACCCUUCAAGAGUCACCAUUGCAGGGCAGAAGGGCGCCUUACAAAUAGUUAAAUUUCCCACUUAAUCAUGCCGAACAAUGAUGUGAAUGAGAAAAUGACACAUUUUGCAAACAACAGCCAAGAGAAAAAGAUCAUUUCCUUCUGUAGAUUCAUUAGCAAGUCGGGACAAUUUAACUCGUCUCCUGGCCAAUUCCUGCAGAAGCUGGAGCUGCGUAUCCUCAGCCGGCUGGAAACAGAUACAAGCCACAGUAUCUGUGGAUGGAUGGAAAUUACCCUGGCUAAUCGGUGGUAUGUAAAACAGGAUGUGAGAAUGUGUGGGUAAGCAGAGGGACGAAGCAUCAGGGGCCCUUGGCUUCUACUGAUCAUGGCACCUGUGGGUGAUUCACACCAAUGCUUGGAUGUUUUGGUGUUGGUAGAAAGCAGAAAAGUGAAAAAGAGAUUUACUACCAUCCAAGGCAGGAGGAAGGCAAGAAGGAGAGUUGCUGAUAAAAUAAAUACUGGAUGAACAACCACAGAGAAUCUGCCAAUGGCCGGGCCGAUGGUGGAAAGCACGAGGCAAGAUGGCUUAGAGCCCCUCCCCAGCCUGCCACUGAGAAGGGCACAAGGCUGGAAGGGUUGGCAGGCAUGGGUGGAAAGGUAUCAAAAACAAGUCAAUCAAAAGCAAACUCACCUCAUCUCUAAUUGGGUUCACCUCCUUUCCCAGCACAAAGCAGAGGCAGCAAGAGCCACUCGGGGCUUAAAUUCUUUCCAGACUUGCUCUUCUGUUGAAAAUGGUUUUACAACCUAAUAGGCAAUGGAGAAAUCCAGUUCAGUUUUUUCUCCUCCUUCUUAUACUCCUUCUCCUAACUUUUAUUCUUUUUUUAAGUAUUUCCUUGGGAGAGGCUGGAGACAUAAGCGUAAUUAGUGUAUUUAUUGAGAAUAGCUCAUUAUGGUGCCCAAAGCAGAAAAACAAAAUUCUCCAGAGAUCAGGGUUUACUCUUCAUGUUGAUGCUGGACAAUGAUGAGCCCAACUUGGGCAGCCUGGGGAAGUUAUUCUUUACAGGAUGCCUCCAUGAUUAUUUCUGAUGAAACACAAUAUCAGUCCAUACAUUGUGACAUCUUCUCCUCCCCUUUAAUUCCUUAAAUGCCACUAAAUCAAGGUAGUGACACAUACCGUGCUUUUAACAUGUAAGAUAAUGAGAGGUUAACAAGCAAAAACGAAAAGGAAGAGAAACAACCUUAAUUUGGAAACUGGACAUUAUAGCUCCUACAGUCCAUGGCCAUGGUCACCCAUGUGGAAAUUUUUAAAAAUUGUAAUAAAUAAUUGAAUAUGUGAGUUGACUACAGAAUAUUCGUUACUUAGAGAGUUAGUGAACCAACAGAUAAAACUGAGAAGAUGCUCCCAGGAUACAGUGUCUGAAAGAAAACUAAAAAGAUAUCCAGAAGAUGAUAAAAUUCCGGGACGAAUCCAGUGAGGGUCCCAUACAGAGAAGAGAAAGAAUGGCAGAGAGGGAGGGCUGAGAUUCAAACAACUAGCAGAUGAAAAUUUCCUCUGAACUGAAGAAACACCUAAAAGGUUAGCUUAAAACCAACCCAGGAGGUUCUAAGCACCCUUAAAUCCCGUAUUUCUCAUCCAUUUGAUCUCUAACUAUGAGCUUGUCAAGAAGGCUAGUAUAACCACAGGCAGCAUUAGCAGAAAGACAGCAUCUCAAUGGAAGGAUGACUUGUCACCUUAUGCUCUGAGCUGACCAGAAUUAGGGGAGCUCUACUUGCAAGUGCAUGAAACGUGUUGAGAUAUUGACAGCUUGGAGCAUGCCAUACUAAGAGUGGCCAUCUUGAUUAUGAAAUCCAAGUUAUGGUCCCUGAAGAAGUUGGGUGGAACUGAAGACCUUUCACCCAAGAAAUAAAUGACUCCAGAACCAGAUAGCAAGGACUUUCUUGCUACAAGGAGGUCCACCUUAAUCUGUGCUGCUCCUCAAGGCUGAGCUAGGACAAAAGGUAGACCUUACAACAUAAUCCAACCAUAAUCCAACCCACAUUAGAGCGCGUCACCAUCAGAACAUCAGCACAUCAGAAUCAUCAAAACAAAGUGGGCUGCCUUCGAGAUACGGGAUUCUGAAAAUUUUCCAACAGAGCGGGUCAACCCUUGCUUUGAUACUUUGAAACUCUGACUAUGUUUGGAGGGUGAGUUGGUAUCAGUUUGGAGGGAACUCUGAGUGACCAGCUAGGGAGCGCUAAGAUAUCUUGUACUUAAUGCAGAACCUUGGACCAGCUCAUACCCUGUCUGAUUUACAACUUAUUUUUAAAUAAUUUCUUUUACCAAAUUGAAUACUGUGCAAUAUUCCAUCCAAUACCUUGAAGGGAACAAAAACAUGCAAAUAUAUUUAGGUAGGCAGGAAAAAAAUUGUACCUUGGAAAGAUAAAUACCAAACCAGCACUUUAUGAGUAAUUCACCUAUUAGACAACUCGGCACAGCACCAAUGAAGUGGGACAGUAGGGAAAUUCUGAGAUAAUGUAAGUACAGUCCAUGCUUGGCUUCCAUGAUGUUGAGUUGCUCUGAAAGAAAGAAGAGGGUUUUGCUGAAAACACCCAGACAAUGACAGUUGCUCUGUGUUUACCAUCUUUGAUUUUGUUUGUUGAUAACAAAAAUGUUUACUUUCUCCAUGUGUCUUGUUAAUGCAGACCUUAGUUCCUAGAAACCUCAGAUCUAUAAAGGAAGAAGAUAGCUGUGGGGCAAUUCACCUGUGAAUUAAAAUCUUUUGCCUUAGCAAGCUUGAACCAGAAGAACUCAACAUACGCCUAUGGGGGGUGUGUUCUGCUCCUUCAGUGGUACUUCCCAUGGUUUGAUUUUGUUCUUACUCAAGUUGUUUGGGACUUGAGAAAGGUCAUCUCAAUUCUCGAAGGUUGGGGGAAAACCAAGUCUUCAUGUUCUCCGUACGUACAACGAGGGUGAAUAUUUCAAGCAUGUAGAUGCUUUUCUGCAAAUCAUCAGUCUUACAGCAUAUCUAGACUGAGAUGACAUUCACCAAAGUGGUGGGGUACCCAAGGUUGACAUUCCCCAAGCCAAUUUGUUAACUGUGCCCCUUUCUCCUGGCUAUUAUAUAGCAACUCACUCAUUGCAUCAUUAAAUAACACAUACCUGUGGUCAUAUAUGCACAUAUACAUAUUCUCUGGUCUGUGCAAGACCCAAACAUAGGCAUGUGGGUAGAGUAUGAUGCAAAGAAAAACGUGUUAUAAACCAUGAGAAGAAGACCAAGCAAACUCCAGAUCUCAGAAUCCCGUCUGCUCCUGGGCAGCCUGCCCUACAGAGAACGAUGUGCAGAUUUUCCUAGGCGAAAGAGUGUUCCAGACAGGCAGGGUUCUCCCACAUUCCAGCACUCUUUCCCUGUUAGGAAUUAACUCCACCUCACUUACACUUUAGCAGAAAAUGGGAUACCAUCAAGCACAUCAGAACUUAGGCUCAUCUUGGGUCUUCAUCGGACCACUACACUAGGGGGAAAAGGUCAGAAUUCAUGAGUGGGAUGGAUUCGUCUUUCUACGGCACGUGAUCCUUUGGAAACAGACAUUUUUAUAGGGAUGUAGAAAUCACAGGCAAAUGACUUCGGAGAGUCUAAACAUAGACCUGGAGGAAAUGUUUCAUUCACCAUUUCUUUUGAUACCUAUCGAGAUAAAGUUUCUUGGUUGUGGAGCAGAAGAUAAGAUGAUACCAGGAAUGAAAGGAAAGAGCACAUGUCAUUCAGAUGUUUUAAAGUACAUUAAGAAAUAGUGUCUAGAAUGAAGGCCGGGUUAAAGACUGGAUUCUGAGGAAAAAUACCCAAUGGUCCUCUCUCUCACCUUUCCUGUGUUCAAGCCCGUGGGGCAUCUUGGUUCUUAGUCUGUGGGCAAGGCUUUGUUGUUUUACAGUUGAAGUCUAAUACAUCUCAAAAUUCAUAUACCCGUGCUCCCCAAAAAAUGGAAUUUGGAGAUGAAAGAAAACAGAAGUAGAAAGUAUUGAGAUCCACGCAUUCGAUAGAGAGUGAAGGACCAAGAAGAACAAUUUGGGCAUGAAAAAGAGAAAGAAGAGAGUGGCAAAUGGCAUUUGCAAAAGGGCAAAUAAG
rnacentral:lncRNA from 1 species